UGCAACUCAGCCAAGUCACGAGAAAACGAAAUGAUUUACUCAGGUAAAAAAAUGUGUCUUCUUUUGCAAUAUGCUAACGAGAAUGCCUCCAAAGUUAAAGUGGUUCAUGACCACGUCAAGCAGUGAUCUUUUAGCCUCUUAGGUAGAGCAUGCUGUGCUCUGCAAAUAUCUGUUAGGUGUCUUGCUGCUGACCCACACUAUGUUACAUAGUACCCUCCUUGAAACUGGCUUCCUUUCUGUUCUGAUCUCUGCUGUCCUAUUUUGGGUCCUCAUCAUUUCUUACCGUCAUUAAUGAGACAGUUCUCUGUUUGCAGCCCCAUUGCUGAUGAUGUGUCUACUGGUCUGAUGAUGUGAAACUGGUCUAUCUCCUGCUCCUGCUUAAAGUCCCUCAGCAAUUCCCCAUCAUCCUUGAAAUAAAGUUCGAGCCGGGUAGUGGUGGUACAGGCCUUUAAUCCCAGCACUCGGGAGGCAGAGACUGGAGGAUCUCUGUGAGUUCAAGGCCAGCCUGGUCUACAGAGCGAGUUCCAGGACAGCCAGGGCUACACAGAGAAACCCUGUCUCGAAAAACCGAAAAGAAAGAAAGUUCAAGCCAAUCAUGAGGCUAUAAGGCUACAAAGCCCUCCAAGGACUGACUUGUCCCUGUCUCCCUCCCCGUGUCCUCCCUCAGCUCACCUCAUGCUCCCCUUGACUUGUCCACAUCUCCUGCAGCUCUUAGCACUCGCUGUCCGUGUUCUUAUUUGUGGAGUCCUUUGCUCCAUGAACUUUUGUCUGACCCCUUCCAGUUUGCCAACUCUUUUCUCCCCACUGUGACUUAUCGCAUCCUUUCCGGCCCAGUCCCCGCUUCAGCUCCUCCGGGAGUCCCCGCUAAACUUGGCACCUCCCUGAGCAUUCUGACUUACAGCAUCUCCCACUUUAAAAUGCUGGCUUUAUGCUUGCUUCCUCCAACAGUUUGUGAGGGCUCCUCAUGGCUUGAGGCGACCUCAUGCGUUAGCAUGUCGUGUGGUACGGCUGUGGGGUGUUGGUGGAAAGAAUCCAAUCCAGAGAUCGUCUUCAGGCAGCAUUUAGGAACCUUCCAGAGCUGUGACAACCAUGAGAUAACACAUGCAAAGUCCUUUGAAAGUGAACUGAACAAGUAGGAAGCCACUGGCCACUCAUUCUAUCUCACGUGUAAUAGCCUCUUGGUUCUCAUCAGGUGGUGCCUCUAUUAGUUCCUUUUCUGUCGCUGUCAUAACAUACCAUGACCAAGGCAACUCAUGGAAGAAAGGGCUUGCUUGAGCUUACAGUUUCAGAGGGUUAGAGUCUGUGAUAUCAGAGGCAGCAGGCAGCAGGCAGGAGCAGGAAGCCGAGGGCUCACAUCUUGAACCACAGAUGCUCCGCAGAGAGAGUUAACUAGCCAUGUCUUGAGUAUUUAAACUCUCCAACACUGUUCCCAGGGACAUUCCUCCUCCAGCAAGGCCACACUUCCUAAAUCUAUCCUAACAGUUCCACCAACAGCGGACCAAGUGUUCAAAUGCCAGACGAUGGGGGACAUUUGUCAUUCAAACCACCACAACGCCUUUCUCCAUUUUAUAGUCACAUGACUGCCGUCGUCACAGGCUGAUGGAUUAUUUCUAGAUCUUUUUCUUCAGCCCUGCCCUCUCUCCUAAGCUUUGUACCUUCUCCAACUACAUGUGCCGUAUUUUCACCUGUGACUUGGACCUUAGCCACUAACAGGUCUCUGAAACGAUUCAUCGUUCCUUCAUCGGAAUCUUCUCCUCUAUGUGCCCAUGAGUGGCGUUGUCUGCGCUCGACUUUAGCUCAUUAUCUUCCUUAGUGCCGUGGCAUUGUGGAGCUGGAAAGACAGCAGAGAGAGAGACAUGGGAGGCAAAUCCUUCUGAGAGACAGUGUACUAUUGCUAUAAUUAAGGAGGCAACUCCAUGUAGUUUAUCUGGUAAUUAAAAGAGGUUCAAGCCGGGCGGUGGUGGCGCACGCCUUUAAUCCCAGCACUCGGGAGGCAGAGCCAGGCGGAUCUCUGUGAGUUCGAGGCCAGCCUGGGCUACCAAGUGAGUUCCAGGAAAGGCGCAAAGCUACACAGAGAAACCCUGUCUCGAAAAACCAAAAAAAAAAAAAAAAAAAGAGGUUUAUUUUAGGGGUAACUUACAACCAAUAAGGGGUCGGUUACAGGAUCCAGGAGAGAUGAGGUACAGCCCAGCAUAGUCCAGCGUAGUUUUCUGGGGAACUCUGAUUUGGUCUGCAAAUCCAGCCUCCAGGACCAUGAGGAGCUAAGAGAGCGAACACCUACGCAUCUCAGGUCCUAAGGGGUCACCUCUUGGCCACACCCCAGGGGCAGGUCAUAGGUAGGUGUGGCAGUUAUUUGCUGCCACACAAGGGGCAAUGUUUCAAGGUCAAAGCUGGAACAGCUACCCGCUACAGUGUACAAAGGGAAGCAGGGAAGUGCUGGGCAGUGAGAGAUGGGCUGAGCCAGGUGUCAGAGGACCAGAUAAGUCAUGUUGGGGAACUUGCUUUAGGUUGACCAUCAUAGCAAUCCAACAUAGGCUGGUAGAGAGCUUUGAGGAGAGGGAGUACUUGAUGAGACUCAGGCUUUAAAAAUCUUAAUCUCAUUGAAGUGCGUAGAAUGCAUCGUAAGAGCUUAAAUUCAGGUCAGAGUUCGGAUCUGGAUGCAGAUCCUGAAAUGAUGGAAUGGCUCGGGAGCUGACUGGAAACAAAGGCAGGGGACAAGACUGUGCGGAACUCCGAGGUGAGGAAGAAUGCUUGGAGGAUGGCUUCUUGAAGGGCUACUCCUUUCUCAGAAGGGAGUCACUGAAGGGUACCAAAAAGGCUCUGGGAGUGUGAGAUUGCCGGAAUUUAGCGGCUGCAGUUGACAUUGCCUGCUGUGACUGUGAGCCAAAUGAUCAGGAGACGUGGCAUGGGAAUGAUCUUUGCCUCAGCUGCAGGGACAUGAACUUAGGAAUUGAAAGUCAAGGGAGGCUUCUUUCCUUAGAAGUAGUUGCUGAUUACAAGACCUUGAUAUCUCCCUUGAGCAAAUGGAUCCAUUUCAGUUUCCAUGUGUAGUUCAGGACCCCAUUAUGCUAAUGAGUGCUUCUGAAGGAACCAGGAGAACGGUGGGUUGUAGAGCAUGACUCACUCCCCCAAAGAGGCAGUGUUUCUUCAGUUCGCAAUGCUCUGCUCGCAAACGGGAAGGGAGAGUGAAAAGUCGGGACAGAGGAAUUCCCUCAGAUCUGAUUUUGCUAAGAGACUUGGGAUUAGACCCACCAGACAAUGUGGACGGUUUUCGUUAGAAAGUGAGUAGAACAAAGGAAGGAAGUCAGUUUCUUUCAAAAUGUCAUCUUGGGACCCAUAUGAAGAAUGGUGACGAGGUCACAGGUCCAUUUUCAUUCGACUCUUUUAUGUGUGAGAAAAUAUUGCCAUGCAGUGAAGUCAAGGAUACUGGGGGAAGGCCUAGAGAAUCCAUUUUCCCACCUUGACAGCACAGUGGAAAAUUUCCAGUUAUCACAGGUCCUUCCAUGAAAAGUCACUGUAAAGGAUGGUGUAGAUUAGAGGUUUAAACUCAGCAAUGUUUUGCCUCAUUAGAGAGAAUUUAGUAAGAGGCUGGAGCCGGGUGAUGGUGGUGCAGGCCUUUAAUCCCAGUACCCUUCUGGGAGGCAGAGACAGGCAAACCUCUGUGAGUUCAAGGCCAGCCUGGUCUACAGAGAGUGUUCCAGGACAGCCAGGGCUACAUAGAGAAAAACCUGUCUCAACAACAACAACAACAACAACAACAAAACAAACAAACAAAAAACCCCCAAACCCCCAAAAACAAACAAACAAAAACAGAAACAAAACAACAAUAACAACAAAAAGCCAAAAGAGUCUGGAGAGAUGGCUAAGCAGUUAAUAGAACUUGCUGUGAAAUCAUGAAUACUGGAGUUCGAUCCCAGCACCCACGGAACAAGCCAGGCAUUUCACAAUACCAGGUAUCUCUAGCUCCAAGGGAUCAGAUACCGUCUGAUUUCUGUGCUCAUAUAGCCACGAGCACCUCUACCCUACACACACACACACACACACACACACACACACACACACACACACACACACACAAUAAAACAUAGGAUUCUUGUUGGUAAACACCCAGAUACUUGCAUAGUUUCAUGAAUUGACCUUAGAGACCCACCCGGACACUGACUCUUUACUUACCCAUCUGUUUUGCUGGUACAACACAAAGAGUGCCUCCCACAUCUUGGUUAGGUCGUUUCAGCAUCUGGAAACCUGCUGCCUAAACCCAACUCACAGACAUGUCUAAAGCUAGGGAAUUCACUUUGAGUACGUGAUGUUGUGACUGAGAACCAGUCUUCUUAUUAAGUAACUAACUUGCUAUUUAUCCAAGUGCCCUCCACAAACACAUUUCAGCAUGCACACAAAUGUUUCCCACAAUCAUUGCCAGAUGCUCUGUGGUUUAAAAGAACACAAAGAUUCCUAAAAGGCACAUGAUUGUGGCUAUAACAAACUGCCAAGGAAAGAAAGAAUAUCAUGGAAAAUGCAACCUUGACAUCUCAGUAAGGUACAUACUAAUAUACACUUUUAAGUGAAGAUUCACUUUACAGUAAUAAUGCUACAAGUGUGGAUGAAUUGUCCCAAAUACAUCAUCAUGAAAAAUGGCAAGACUCUAAAUUGUAAAGAUUCUAUAUCCUAAAUUCAGUUAAAAAUCAGUGACUUCUGAUUUGGAGGGGCGGCUUUCCAAUGUGUCUUCUCUUUAGUCUCUACGUUCUGUUUUUGAGCAGUUUCAAUGGUGUCUCAUCCUGACAUCGUAAUUGCCUCUCAUACAUUUAUUUUGCUCUAACUUCCAAUUUAUUAGUCAGUGAUGCAGUCACCGGCUGUAUUUUUUUUUUUUUUUACAGACAUAUGAUGACUCUGUAUUUAUGGAGCACAGCAUGAUAAAUCUACAUAUGCAUCAUCUAGUUCAAGGGUCAUAUCAAGGCCACUGGCAUUUACCAUUCCUUAAACAUUUCUUAUUUCCCUCUGUUGGGAAGCUUCACUUUCAUUUAUCCUAGUUCUUCAUAAAAUAUAUAACAUUCAGGUACAAUAAAUAAUACAUAAUGUUCAGGUACAAUAAAUAAUAUAUAAUACUCAUGUACAAUAAAUUAAGAAUAAAAUUAAAUGUAAAAAUUGAAAGAAAACCCACAUACAACAUUGUAACUAUAGUCACUCCACUGUGCUUAAUAUUCUCUUAUCUAACCAAUGUUAGGUGCUUGUUGUUCAUGCCCCUGUCACUCUCUUCUGCUGCUGCUGUUCCUCUCUAUUCUAGCGUUCGAAGAUCAAUGAGGUACGAUGAUACUUUAUUUGUGCUGAAAUGUGAUUUUAUUUGUAUGUUAAUAAAUAAAGUUGCCUGAGGGUCAGAGCUAAAAGCAAGCAGAAGUCUGGUGGUGGUGGCACACACCCUUAAUCCAAUCACAUGGCAGGCAGAGUCUCUGUGUGUUCAAGGACACAGCCAAGUGGUGACCCGAACCUUUGAUCCCAGUACCAACCAUAGAGACCUAGAGGUCUGUAUAGACAGGCAGUGACGAGGAAGUCAUGUGGUUGGGUUUAGAGCCAAUGAGAAGGCAGAACAGAAAGGCAAUAAAAAGAUAGUCACAGAGGAAGACGGUCUCUCUCUCUUUGGAGAAGCAAUGGCAGUGAGUGGUAAGUCAAAGGCUAUUCGCUAGUGCUCUGAUCUCUUGGGCUUUUAACUCUGUAUUUGGCUCUGUGGUUCUUAUUUAAUAAGACCAUUUAGAAUUUCGUCUAUAAUGAGGAAAGCAAAUCAACCAACCAACCAACCAACCAACCAACCAAACAGAAACAGGGAAACAAAGAAACAAACUAAAUAAUCUACAGCUGGUAAGAUGGCUCAGUAGAGAAAUGGCCACCAAGCUUGGCAAUCUGAGUCUGAUCCCUGGGACUGACAUGGUCAAGAGAACUGACUUCUGCAAGUUGUCCUCUGACCACAUGUGUGCCUCCACACACACAAUAAAUAGAUACCAAACAACAACAACAACAAUAACAACAACACAAAACAAAAAAACCAACCAAAAAAACCGAAAAGGAAAACCAAGGAGAUGAUAUUGAGUACCCAUGUGUGGUAGAUCUCACUUUGUCAUUGAGAAACCAGGUAUUAUUUCCUUUGUGGGAAGACCAGGAGGUUUAUACAUUCCAAUUUCUAGUUCAAAUACUUUUUUUUUUUUUUGAAAUGAGAGUGUGAUAACUUUUUGACUUAAGAAAACUGCAUGUUGUUUGAAUAAAAGAAAUAUUCUUCAACAGCUGGCUUUUACGUGGAGAGCCUGCUAGGAAUCUAAGAAAGCCAGGAAAAUGAUAAGAAUUUAGGGUGACUUAAUUUUAAUUUAUGGACUAUCCCUGUAAAAAUGAAAAAAAAAAAAAACAAAAAACAAAGCAACCAACAACAAAACCCACUGAUGGUUCUGGAACAAAGAAAAAAGAAGUGUUCUCCCGACCCUUGGGAGCUGUGGUCCCUUCCACCAGUUGCAAGCGAGUGUCAAAGUUGGCAGCCAUCAUUCCAGAGGCUUUGAGUGUGGUCUCUCAGACUGUGUCGGUAUGUCAGAUAUGUGGAAUCCUUCUGAUCCCUGUUUCUCAGUUGCCAUCAUAUCAAGGGAGGGAAUCCGUGUUUGUUCUGUGACGUUUAUGAAUACCACAACUCUGAAGUCACCUUCAUUUGUACAGAUCCAGCUGUUGGCAAGACUUUGCUCUUCGUGGGCUCCUGGAAUCUGUGACCUUGUCCCUCCAGCCUCUGAGUGGGUCCCCAAUGGGGCAACUGCAGUUGCUUGUGACCGGGGCUUAUUGGACAGAGGGCUCAGGAAACGUCAUGGGAGAGCGGAUGGAAAGGACGUAAUACCUGAAGGAAGAGGCGUAGUAUUAUGGCAUGCUGUCCUCCAAGCAUGGCAUGGCUGUUGCACCCUUGAAUUCAUAGCAUCUAUGGUCAUCUGUACAAGACCUAUAUGUUGUGUGAAUCCUAAAUGGUCUUAUAAUAAAAACCUGGAGCCAGAUAUUGGGGUAAAUGUGGAAAGAUCAGAGGAAUCAAGCCACAGCCGCUUCUCACCUUGCCAACUCCUCAGCCGAUCCUGUCUCCACGAAUCCUCAGCCUGAAUACUCCUGAGUCCUCAACUGAAAGUGGUUUUUAGUGCCUGUCUCCUCCUGACGCCUUCUAUGCCCUUUUCCCACCCAGCCAUUUCACUUCGUAUCUCAACCUUCCUAGUGCUGGGAUUAACGGCGUGUGUGCUUCCCAAAUACUGGGAUUAAAGGCGUGGGCCCCCACUGCUUGGCUCUGUUUUUCUCCUAGACUGGAUCAAUCUCAUGCAGCCCAGUGUGGCCUUGAACUCACAGAGAUCCAGACAUGUCUCUGCUUCCUGAGUGCUUAGACUAAAGGUGUGUGCCACCACUGCCUGACCUCUGUGUUUAACUCUGUGGCUGGCUCUGUCCUCUGAUCUUCAGGCAAGCUUUAUUUCUUAGAUUAUAAACAAUAUAUCCCCACACCUAUGCAAGACGGGCCCAUCAACAUCCUGUCGUGGAGGGAGGGGGGACUCGCGAGUUUCUACCCUUGUCUGAGGAUUUACAGGCAAAUAAUGGUUGAUGGGGGAUGGACUGACAUUUUCUCCAGUGGUAUAGCCACUAGUAAGGUGGAAGUCCAUGUUCCUGUAAAUAAUCCCCCACUCAUGCUCCUCUAAGCAAGCCUAAAUGAAACUCAUUGAGUCAUGGUUUCAAAAAGUCACGAAAACAGAAGGAGGACUAGUUGGCAAGAGGUUGGGGAAGAGUGGGGAUGGGAGGGGACAGGAGACGGAGAUGGGAUGAAUAUGACCAAAGUGCAUUAUAUACAUGUAUGAAAAUGUCACAACGAAACCCAGCUAUGUGUGGUUAUUAUAUGCUAUUAGAUUCUAGUUUGAGUUCAUCAUUCAUUCAUUUGAGUGCCACUGAGAUAAACGUCUAUGCAGGAGAAUAUUGGACAUGGGUAAUUGAAGGUAUAUGUUGGCAUCAUAGUCGCUCAGAUUAUUGCUGGUUGUAGUGUGAGAUAAAGUACAGAGGAGAAGAGUAUUGGCACAUUAAGUUCUACGGGCACAAAUAAGCUGUGCGAGCAGCUAGCCUGAUCUCAUGGGCAAUUGGUUUUGAUUAACAAGGCAGGGAGGAAGUAGUGUCUUAGAAUGUAAACCAUGGGAUGUUAGCACCAGUUGUGACACUGUGACCAUACACUCACAGGCGCCCUCUGCAGCCAGGAAAUAGCAAUCUACUGUUGACUCAGUUAUGUACCAUUUGGAAGGCGAGCCACGGCAGCCCAGGGUGCUGUCCCACAAAAUGCAGUACACCCUAGAGCCGGUGAGCCAUGGAAGUACUGUUUCUAUCAUUUUCUCCCAUUGUCCUAGAGUCUGCUUCAGUCAGGGAGGAAAUGUCUGGCUCCCCUCUCUCUUGCACCCCAAAGCCCACAUACAUGAAUCUUGUUCUGCAUUUCUGUAACUCUGGGCUCUUUUCUGAAGAUUCUCCAAAGACUGUCAGACAUGGAGGCAGAAGCAAACAGAAGUCAAGUUCAUACAGUUACCACCGGAAGGCUGAGGCUCAAACCAUUAUGUUGUGUUCCAAAGUCCUUAUUUCUUCCAUUAAACUCCAGAGGAGACAAAGCAGGAUCAUCAGUAAAAGGGAUAAAGAUCUCCUACUCCUACAAACCGAGUAGGAGAUCUUGACCCCAAUUUCAA